rnacentral:rRNA from 1 species
AAUUUUGGACAAUGGGGGGAACCCUGAUCCAGCCAUCCCGCGUGUAUGAAGAAGGCCUGCGGGUUGUAAAGCCCUUUCGGUGGGGAAGAACAGCCUCGACCUAAUACGUCGGGGUCUUGACGUAACCCACAGAAGAAGCACCGGCUAACUAUAUGCCAGCAGCCGCGGUAAUACAGAGGGUGCGAGCGUUAAUCGGAAUUACUGGGCGUAAAGCGCGCGUAGGCGGCUUUGCAAGUCGGGUGUGAAAUCCCCAGGCUUAACCUGGGAACUGCAUUCGAGACUGCAUUGCUAGAGUAUGGGAGAGGGAAGUGGAAUUUCCGGUGUAGCGGUGAAAUGCGUAGAUAUCGGAAGGAACAUCAGUGGCGAAAGCGACUUCCUGGACCAAUACUGACGCUCAUGUGCGAAAGCGUGGGGAGCAAACAGG